rnacentral:lncRNA from 1 species
AUUUAUUAUAAUAAGGCAUUCCCUCAUGCAAUUAUAGAGGCUAAGUCCCUAUAUCUGCAGUUGGCAGGCUGGAGACCCAGGAGAGCUGAAGGUGUAGUUCUAGUCCAAGUCCGAAGACCUGAGAACCAGGAGAGUCAGUGGUAUAAGUUUCAGUCUGAACCCUGCAGGUUAGAGACACAGGAAGAAUGGAUGCUUCCGUCCAAGUCUGAGACCGGAGAAGACACAUGUCCCAGCUCAAGCAGUCAGGCAAGAGGAAUUCCCUCUUAGCCUUUUUUCUGUUCACGUCUUCAAUGGAUUGGAUGAGGACCAUCUACACUGGGGAGGGUGAUCUACUUGACUCAGUCUACUGAUUCAAAUCUUAAUCUCCUCCAGAAACACCCUCACAAACACACCCGGAAUAGUGUUUAGUCAAAUGUCUAAGCACUCCAUGGGCCAGUCAAGUUGACACACAAAACUUGCCACCCCAGCUUCCUACAGAAGCCAACUCCCUCAAGAAGAGAUGAAGAUUCGGCUCUAUGUUGGUGGCGUGGCGUUGUGUACCUAGAACAAUGGUAGGCCACUCUCUGAGUCCCUGUGGGGAUUUUCUAGGGUAAAUCAGACCUUGAUUCAUGUUCACUGUCCUUGCUGAUGAGUCCUUAUCACCCCCCAGACUGCAACUCCUACAGCCGUUAGAUGUUAUGCUCACUUUCACCCCAUCCCUCAGACUCAGACCUUCGCAUUCAAUCCCAGGGCUUUGGUCAUGGGUAGUUCCAGCUGUCUGCACCUCACAGUUGACAACCCCUCACCUCCUGCCUCCCCAAGGCCACUCUCUCCCCGUCGCACCCAGGCUGCCAGGGUGACUUUCAAAACACUCUUCUUUCACUGUAGACCCAUAAGAUGUGGGAACUGGCAGGGACUUUAGAGACAGUGCAUCCUCUCUGAUCUUCCUUGCAGGAUUACAGCUGGGAAACUGAGUUCCAAAGGCAGGAAGAGACUUGCCUGGGGAGGCUGCUCUGGUCCUCAGGCCCUGGUCUUCGUGUGGGUCCCCAGGUGUGGUGGAAAUGGCGGGGUGGUGAGAGAGGGCUGGGGUCAUGAUGGAUGGAGAGGAUGUGAGUAGAGUGAUUGGGAGGAGUGGGGAUGGGAGGGGGACUUGUGGGUGUGUGGCAGGUGUGUGUGCAAUGUGCACACGUCUGCAUAUGAGCAUGUGUGGCUCCUACCAAAUGACCCCAGGUGAUGGAAUCUGGAAUGGAUGGGGAAAGGGAGUUGGGCAGGAGCCCAGCAGUGUCAGCUAGUUAAUAGAUAAAACCCAUUCUUUGGGAUUCUCAUUAGGGCGCUGAGGUCUCCAUCCACUUCAGACUCAACUUGUGUCCAUACAGACCUCACUGAGGGCUUCCAGCAGGCUGUUCUGCUCCCAGCUCUCCUGGGAGGAGUGGGCGUGGGUUUUAAUUCUUGCCCAGAGCCCUGCUGACAGGUGGUGCUCUGUCUGGAGGCGAACCUGGGGCCCAGCUCGGUGGAACCAUUUUCAGCUGUGUACCCCAGUAAGUGCUUGGCCUUUCAGAUCAUAGUUUCUCUCAUGUGCGUAAGAAGGGGUGGGUCAGGAUGGAGGCGGUUUCCAAACACCAGUCUUCCAUGCCAACAUCUGCCCCCUAGACUUGGCAAAAACCAGAACAAUAAGGACAAUGCCAUAAGUUGUUCAUGAAACUAAAUGCAUCCAGUCUAAUGGAUUAUCCUUUAUUCUGAGAUGACGUCCUUCCUUUUUUUGAUAUUCAAAUGCCCUUUUGAAAAUCAAAUGAUAGAAACUCUGUGUGUGUGUGCACGUGUGCGCAUUUGUAUGCUUGUGAAUAAAGGCAUGCUGAUGAAAGAAAGGCAGUGCUUAUCAUAGUGUGGUCUGAGAAUGCCUGGAGGUCCCCAAAACACUUUCAGGGGGUUUAGAAAGUCAAAACUGUUUUCAUAAUAGUACUAAGAUGUCAUUUGCCCUUUUUACCCUGUUGACAUUUGCACUAGUGGUGCAAGAGCAACAGCCAGUAACCUGCUAGUCUGGUAGCACGCAUCAGGCUGGGACGUUCUUGCAGUAAAACAAAAAAGAGAAAAAGAGACAAUGUCACUUAAGAAUGUCCUUGAAGCAGAAAAAUUUAUUAACUUCUUCAUUUUUCAACCCUUGAGUACAAGACAUUUUAAUAUUCUGUACAACCAAGUGAAGGUGUGCAUGAAACAUUUCUCCUGCAUACUGAAGUAUAAUAGUUGUCUUAAGGAAAAGUACUUGUGCAAUUGAGUUGUUAGCUGACCUAGCUGAACAUCAUUUUUACUUGAAAAAGGAAGACUAACAGAAAAAUUAUGGUUAUGCAAUCUCAAGUAUUGGUAGACAUUUUCUUGAAAAUGAAUAAAGUGUGCCAGUCACUUCAAGGAAAAUAAUGGACCACAUUUGUCACCAAUGAUAAAAUUCAGGCUUUCAAGAUAAUGGAGAUAAAUGCCUGGAACAGGGUGGCUGUCCAAUAAAGUCUGUCUUUCCCCUCUUUCUUCUACUCCUAUUUCCUCCUCUUUUUUUUUUUUUUUUUUGACAACGUCUGACUCUAUCGCCUAGGCUGGAGUGCACUGGUGCCACCUCAGCUCACUGAAACCUCCGCCUCCCAGGCUCAAGCCAUCCUCCCACCUCAGCCUCCUGAAUAGCUGGGACUACAGGCACACACCACCACACCCAGUUUAUUUUUGUAUUUUUCUUUUUUUUGUAGAGAUGAAAUUUUGCCACAUUUCCCAGGUUGGUCUUGACUUCCCUCUCUUCUUGGUAGAGGUUAGCUCCUUGGCCCUGGCUGGCAAAGUGUCUGAAAAUUGACACUCUUCAGUGUCAAUUUUCCAAUGAGAUGGGGUAGGAGGUAUUGGUUUGGGCACGGAGUAAGCUGCUGUAAGAACAGUCCCCCAAAUACAGCAAGUUCAACAAGAUGGAAGAUUAUUGCUCUCAUGGAAAACUCUAAGCAAGGAAGGGGUCUGGGAAUGGAAGGCAGUUUGACUCCAUGAAGUGGAUCAGGAAUUCAGGUAACUUCCAUCCUGUGCUCUGCCCUCUCCAUGGUGGAAGCUGGAUCUCUGUGCUGUGUCUAUGUUUCAGUCUGCAAGAAGGCAGGGAGAAGAUGGGAAGGGCUAGCACACAUUGCUUCUGUUCACAUGCCAUUCACAUAUGGCCACAUGUAACUGCCUGGGAGGCUGGAAAGUAGUGUAGUUUCUAGUAAUAUGGCUAUUCUAUGACUAAAAAGAAAAAAGGGAGAAAGGAUUCUAGGGGAUGGAUGACAGUUUCUGCCACAAUAUGAGUGGGGUAGGAUCAGAGGAGAAAAAUGUGGGAAUAGCAGAAAUGUAGCACCUAUGAGCUCACAGCUUCAAAGAGAUGCUCAGGUGAAAUCCCAGAGAGGCCCACCUAGACUCAGCACCCUGCUGCUGCUACCUCUUCUCACCUCAUCAGUCUGUGCAUGGUAUGUAGGCCACGUGUCUUUGCAUUUCCUCCAAACAUCUGAACAUGGUGGAUCUAGAAGGCACUUUAGAGAUCCCCUUUUAUUCUGUAAAAGGAGAGGCACAGCCCCAGAGACAGAAGACUCUUGACCAAUGACACACAGCAAGUCAGAGUUGGGAUUGGGACUAGAACCAAGCUUUCCCACUCCCCAGGCCCAUAGCUCUCUUGCCAUAGCCCACAAUAUCUCUUUGAUGAUGCACCAGGCCCUUUCCCUUCUGAUACAUCAGAUGGCUCCCUCCCUGAGCUGACCACCUGAUUCCUUAUCCUCUGUUACCUUGAAAAGCAUGAAUAUACGUUAAAUAGGAAAGGAAUGAAGCAAACAUGUAUCACACAGUCGAAAAGAAGAAUAGGCAUAGGCAUGUAGUGUAAGAAAGGUUAUUCAGGGAAGGGGCAUUUCCAUCCCUUUUUAUUCAUACACCACCCAAGAGUCUUUUGAAUGCAGGUGCAAAAAUCCCACUGAAACCUGCUUACAAAAUUAAGGAGGAUUUAUUGGCUUAUAUAGUCUCCAAUUCCAUAUUUUUAGGAUGGGUCACUUUUAACACCCUACUCCUGAUACCAAUUUCUACAUCACUUGAGAUGUCUUGUUGACAAGCAGUAACAAUGGGCUCUGACUAAACUGAGACUUUUGGGCAUUUAUUGGAAUAAUCCUGGGGUGGUCUCAAUGAAAGGACUGAAGAAAGGGCUGAAGAACCAGAUCUGGAACUUAUAUCUCAGAGGAUAUCAGCAGCAGAAGAGUCUGCUACCUUCCAACCCUGAGUCUGUAUGCAGAGGCAAAGUGUGGGCAAAGGAAUUCUGGUUGCAUGCCUACCCUAUCUGAUACCAGAAGAAAAUGGGGUAAACAUGGGGAGCUAUGACAGAUAAAAACAAUCACCAUUAUGCCUUUAAUUUCCCCUAUAAAUGCAUACUAUCAUUAUCCACAUUCGCUUAUUAGAUUUGUAUUUUUUCUCAUUUUAACUUAAAGAAAUAUGUAUAGUUCUUAUUGAUGGCAUCUUUCUAAUGGGAGGCAGUACAUGUAAUACAACUUCUUGGCUUAAUACUUACUAACUACAUAACUUGGGCAAGUUACUCAACUUCUCUGAGACUUGAUUUCUUCAUUUUUAAGAUGGGGAUAAGAAUUCCUUGUAGGGUAUUUGAGAUCAUUAAGAUAACUAAUGCAUGAAAGGAUUUUAAAGUAGAGUGGUGGCCAUUUUUAUCAUUUAAAUUUUCCUCUCUCUUUACUGUCUUAGGCUGGAUUCCCAGAAGCAGACUCUUAGUGAAGGAAAUGUAUAGGGGAUGAGAAAGUGGGGCAGGGAAGGGAAGCAGAUCCGGCAAGGAUCCGAUAUCAAGCAAACUCCCACAGAGGGUAAUUUUGGCUCAAUUCCACAUGUGAACUUUGGAGACAUACGAGUCACAACUCAGAGUUGCAUGAGCAGGGAACAAGGGAGCUGGGGUAUUGAUACUCCCAUGUUGCCAAUCAUUGGUUGCAGUGUCUGGCAAGCUGUAGAAAGCAUUCUGACAAUGAGAUGCAAGUGUUGGCUGUUGGGAGUCAAAGCACACUGGGGAUCAGGAAAAGGAGCAGAGGAGGUAUGGACGAAACAUGCUACCUGUCCUCAGUGGUGCUCAUUUACACAAUAGACUUGAAGAGUGUUUUAACAAAGGGGCCAGGGUUAGAGAAAGCAUGAAGGUGAGACUCAGCAGCCUGUUCCAUCUGGGUCAGAGGUCACUCACUCUGACUCCAGGACUUUUUUCUUGGAGCUGCCAAUUUGCAAAGUAUUUCGAAAUAGUAGGCUCAGCAAACUUGGAAAGGCAGGAUGCUCAGCUCAAAAGCUGAGAGUAAUUGUUUAAAAUAUGGGGUUGAGCAAUCAGGGAUUCUCACCUGGAAGCCUUUUGCACCAUGGCAUUUUGCCAGCAGGCCCUGUGCUGGAUCAGGCUGCACGCACUGGCCCAGGCUCACAGCAGUGCAAAGAAAUGAGUGGUUGUUCCCACGGCCCAUGUUUUGAGGGUUUAGAGGCAGGCUCAGAUUUCACAGUUGGCAAGAGGUCCCUCUGCUCCGGUAUUCUACCCGUACUUCCUGAUUACCUGUAAGACCUCAGGCAUUGACCUCGGCACUGGGGAAAACCUCACGUCUCACAAGACCACAGAUAACUCUAGCUCCUGCGCUGCAUCAAGAAGGACAGGCAGAUCAAGCGUGUUGGAGGCAUUGAGAAAAGAAACAUCACUUUCCACCUGAUCAAGAAAGGUCUCUUGAGUUGUCCUUGAAAAGAACAAUCAAAGCGUCUUAUUUAGCCAAUAGUCUAAAAGUUAUAUAUUUAAUAUUUAUUUUAAGAACAUUCACAUGGCAUUUACUACAUGCCAGGAAAAGUUGAAGAGCUCUACACAUAUCAACUCAGUUCCUAUUUGUAGGGAAUGUGAAGCUUACUGGGGAUGUUUGUGGGGAUCUUGGCUGCCCAAUGUGGGACCCCUGUUCCCUUUAGGUGUCUAACACAUGUUCUCUUUCUCUUUGAUGGCCAAGGCAUGGCUGGCCAAUGGGAUGCUUCUCUCUCCAAAGGAGCAGGGAGAGCUGGAGAUACCCUCCUUGCAAACAGCAGCUUGAGGAUCCAGCGCCUGGUGCACAGGUCUGCAAAUCGCCUGGGGUGACUCUGAUGAACUUGAUUAGUAUUGGCUGAACUUGGGCCAGGGUACGGGAUGGGUUCAAGCCUGUUCUGUAUGUUUGUAAUUUGGGGACUCAGGUUGAAAGGGUAGUGUCCAUCUGGAGCAAACUCAUGGUGAAGAGCUGGAGUGCAAGAGAUAGGAGUGGAAAUGUGCAAUGCCUCUUCAGACCUUGGCUUGGAACUGGCACAGCAUCACUUCUACCCAUAUUCAACUGAGCAGAACGCAUGACACAGUCAAGUCCAACAUCAGUGGUGUGGGGUAGUCCUGUCUGCUCACAGUGAAUCGUGAUACAGGGAGACAAGGAAGAAUUGUGGACUAAUAAUUUAAUCUAUCACACAGGGGGUGUUUUUUCACAACCUGAUAUCCUGAUUCCAACCCUCUGAGUGGAAUUUUUUUUUUUAAUUUUUUAGAGACAAGGUCUUGCUCUGUCACCCAGGCUGGAGUACAGUAGUGUGAUCAUAGCUCACUGCAGCCUCAAACUCCUGGGCUCAAGUGAUCCUCCUGCUUUAGCCUCCUGAAUACAUGAGACUACAGGCAUGCGCCACCAUGCCCAGCUUAUUUUUAUUUGUAUUUUGUGUAGAGCUGUAGUCUUGCAAUGUUGUCCAGGCUGGUCUUGAGCUCCUGGUCUCAAGUGAUCCACCCGCCUUGGCCUCUCAGGCAUGAGCCCCCGUUCUCAGCUGGAAUAUCUGUAUUUUGAAGAAGCUGCCCUGGUGAUUCUGAUGUGCAUUCUCACGGGCUCCCUGGCUAAGCUGGCUUUCCUUCAGAUCUGGGGCUUCUGGUCUCGAGGUCACCUGUGUUUCCGGGCCAAAGAUGGUUGUUAACUUGUUCCUCGGAUUGUUCAGUUUCUCAUUCCUGUGCUUUGACCAAGAGGCCAAGUCCAUCCAUUUAAAGUCAUCUCCAAAGACCGGGCUUGGUUCCGGACAUGGCGGGACUGGCUCAGGCAGGAGGCUGACUCAGCCGUGAGAAACAUUAAUGCCUGCCCAUGGUCAUUCUCUUCCUUCGGAAUGCCAGGCUCCUGGGGAUUAGAUGUAAGGAAACUUAUAGAGGCGUCCCAGGGCCACCACUUAUAAAUCAUGUGACCUUGGGCAAGCUAGUCCAUAAAAUAUGAGACUCGCUAUCUCCAUCCAUAAUGUUAGACUAAGACCUCUCAGGCAGACCCUGAGUUCUGUGCAUUGGACAGACCCUGAAUUCUGUUAGGAGGACAAUCUGCCUUCCUCAAGUAAGAUAAUGUCCCGCAUCCCUCUUCCUUUGGGCGACUUCAUUCUUCCCAUCCAGACUGUGGUUGGGGUGUGGUCACCAAUCAACUCCAUCUGGCCACAGGAUUGGGCAAAAAACUCAAUCAUGUGGACUAAUCAAACUCCCACAGUGAUUGGUCCAGGAAUAGACACAUGACCCAAGUUCCACCAAUCAGAUUCCUUCCCUAGGACUUUUUUCACCUGAGCUGGGGAAGAAUUAUCUUUUCACUCUCAAAGCAAGGUUGUUAGGUUCUAAGACUGAAGCUGCUCUUUAUCUCUUCUCCCAACACCUGGCUUACAUGAGCCCAUAAGUUUCCCUUCUUCUCGGACUAGUUUCAGUUGGGUUCUGACAGUGUACCUUACAAUCAAAAAGUCCUGAAGAAAGCGUUACUUUUUGAUGCCAUUGUAAUAAUGAUAAUGAGAGCCGCUUUAUUAUAUGCCUCCGGUUUGCCAGGUUCUGUGCCAAGAGCUUCCAUAUAUUAUCUCAUGGCUUACCUCGACCUGUAGUUAUUUGUGUGCCUGGUGGCACUCCCCGACUGCACCUAACCUCCUGGAGGUUGAUUUCAUCUCAACAUUGCCCAGGGCACCCCGCUUGGUGCCUGUCCUGCACCUGGUGCAUGGCAGCCUGACAGCCCCUCAGGGGGUCACCUUGGAGGGUCACACAGAGACGUGCAGUCCGUCACCACACGUGUUCCACAGGUCACAUGGAGUUGGCCCUCUGGCCAGAGGUUGGCUGGGGACUGAUCUUCAUGGGGUGGCUACAUAAAAGUGGGAGCCCUCCCCACUCCUGCCUCUCCUGCCGACCCCAGCCUCAGCCCCUUCUUUCCUAAGCAGCCUUUUCUAUUAUUAUUUUAACAGCUGGCUCCAGAAUUUUUUCUGGAUACUGUGUAGAGGGUAUGGGGAAUAAGGAACUUGCUGCUCCUGCUAAGCCACCCGGGGUGAAGGUGAGAUCUCCCUAGGGCUCCAGCUGGCUUGUGGAGGAAGAAGUAGCAUCUAUGCUGGGACUGACAGGUGGGCAGGAGUCAGGAGUUGGGAGAGCAGAGAGGGGAACCGCACAGAGAGGACCCAGGCUCAGGAGGCUGCGUGGGCACCUGAGGAACUGGCCAGAUGGUGGAGCUCAGGGAGGCCUGGGGUGCGAGAUGAGGAGGAGCCUGGACGUCCCAGCACUGGCUUUCAUUAUUCUAGCACAUCUCAGGAUUUUUUAAGAAUAGAAAACCUGGCAUUUAUAUUGGCAACGAAAAAUGCUUGAAAUCUAAAUUAUUCUCAUCUGAAGCUAGAAAUAUCCAUAAUGGGCCAGGUGUGAUGGCUCAUGCCUAUAAUCCCAG